UACGUAGGGUGCAAGCGUUAAUCGGAAUUACUGGGCGUAAAGCGUGCGCAGGCGGCUUUGCAAGACAGAUGUGAAAUCCCCGGGCUUAACCUGGGAACUGCAUUUGUGACUGCAUGGCUGGAGUGCGGCAGAGGGGGAUGGAAUUCCGCGUGUAGCAGUGAAAUGCGUAGAUAUGCGGAGGAACACCGAUGGCGAAGGCAGUCCCCUGGGCCUGCACUGACGCUCAUGCACGAAAGCGUGGGAAGCAAACAGG
rnacentral:rRNA from 1 species